ensembl:lncRNA
GGGAAAUGAGAGGGGCAUUUGGGACACAGAACAUUCCUUCCUCCUUUAGAGGAGAAAUGAGGGGAGAAAAGGGGAAGAAAGGAGGGUUGGGAAAGCGAACACAGGACUAGGAGAAAGGAGAGCAGGAGGGUGAGACAGGAGGGCCCUGGACAGGGCGGCAGAAGGAAACACGUCCAUGUUGCCUCAUUCAGCACUGUUUCAUGCCCUUUCUGCCGGCACCCAUCCCCCAGGAGAGAUCAUUAUCAUGAUAGAUAUUUCCUGCUCUAAUUUAUCAAGGGUCCUCCUCCUGUCACACACUGGACAUGCUCUCUUGGAUUGGGUUUCCCAGACACAGAGACAGGGGUUCUCAGGCACAUACAUAGUAGGGAGGUAACCCCAGGAUGCUCUUGUAAGCAGGAGCGAGGAAGCAAGACAGAUAAGGGUGGGCAGCCCACACUGCAUCAGUGAGCAGAUGGCCUUUGUGGUCAACUAGGAGCUCUUAGUCCCACCGGGCACUUUGGGAGGCCACAUGGAAUACACCAGCCGCGCUGUCGGGGAGGUAAAGAAGCUGGAUCGUGUGUUCUCAGUCCUGCCUUUGGUCAGUGGGGUGCUAACUUGGUACCUGUGGUCUGAAUGCGUGCAGAGCCAGCUCCAGUGACCAAAGACAACCCUUAGGCAGAGACUUGCAGGAGCUGGCAGUAACUAACUCUCUCCACUCCCAUCUCACCCCCAUCCCCUACUCACAGAUAAUUCUCUCUUGGCUCAGUUAAAGCCCACUCAACCAAAAGAAUGAGACGACCUGAGGGAGGCGCCAGGACACAGAAGUUGCUGUAAAACCUGGUGAUGGCGGCUAGCCGCUCCCACCCCAGGGUCAGACCACCUGGGACGAUACACUCUCCUCUGAAGGGUUGAGACAAGAUAAAACCCUAGAACCUAAAAAAAAAAAUCCCUUGUGACCUUUGAAUUCCAGAGCCAGCUAACCCCGCCCGUUUUGCAGAAAUGAAUAUGCUGGAACCCAUCUUAAGCAACAGAGAGCACCGAGGGGCUCAGGCUGGGCCGCUGGCAGCAUCUGCUGCAAAGCCCGACCUUAGUGAAUCCUCCCGCCCUCUGCAGCAGGUACUGUCCUCCACCUGCCAGAGGAGACGGUGGGGCUGCUUACUGUCACCGCCACUGGGCAGCAUGCGAGUUUGGCCUCCUGCGACAUCUGCCCGGUGCCCUCUGUGUGCCCGAGGGUGCCCGGGCCUCUGAGGCCAAUAAGGAAGGAACAAGCUGGGGCCUCUGGUGUCAGCAACUUCUGUGGCCUCGGUAGUUUUCUGCUCAACUUGGGCUGAGCCCUGUGAAUGUGCUAACACAUUUAAGUCCAUGGGGAAGGCAAUGGGUGCACUUUGGAAAUGAGUGAGCAUGGAGGCCUGGCUGGCGUCCCGCAGCUGGUGGGGAAUAUUGUCAGGGGUGCUCUCACUUCUCCCUGAUGCUUUGUGCUCCAUGGCUGCUCCCGGCAAGAACCUGUUCCUUCCUCUCCUCCCCUCUUCUUCCCCAUUGCCUUCCUCUCCCUGGGGCCUGGGCUACACUUGAUUGAGACUGUCGCCAACAGCCCUGGACUUUCCAGACCUCACCCUUCCACAGCACUGGGCUGACUCCCUACCCAGGUUGCGCCUGCCUCCACCCCCUCCUCUGACUCUGGCAGCCUUGGACGGCAGAAGGAGACACCCAUGAAAGCCACCGACUCAGCUGCCCUCUUCCUUCCUCCAAACCCAUGUUCUCACCUCCAGCAGCACACAAAGACUGGUACACAGAAGGCUUCACAUGAACGUUUGUUGAAUGAAGAUGAUAAAUGUCAACACGCUGAGCCAUGCAGGCGGAUGCAAGGUCCAGAACAGCAGGCUGUGGAAGCGAAUGAACCUGCUUGCAGCCUCUCCAUCUCCCCCAGAGAAAUGAAAAUCCAAAAUUACAUAAAAAAAUAAGUCAGAAAGUGAUUGCAG